ACCUGGACUUCAAAGCAAUGAUAGACUGAGCAAGCCUAGUUUGACCCUGGCUGACCCUCAAAGCAAUGGUAGACUCCUACGAAAGCCCAACCAAGAUCAGAUGAACUAGCCCAAGCCACCAAAACUUCCCAGGGUACCAGAUAUGCCAGAUAACUCCUGGAGUCAGAUUUCUAUACAAGUGGCCCCCUGCAGCUUCCCCUACCAGUAAGUGAAAAUGAGGAAACAGACUUCAACGGAAACAGAAUUUACCGAUUAGCAGACCAAGAAAGUCCCAGCUGCCUUAUCCAAGGACACAAGUCAAGCUCUAGCAUCAUGCAAACAAUAGAAGAAUUAUUUGCCCACAAAACCUAAGAGGUGCACCAACGUGGAUUGUGCAGUUUCAUUAGUCUGUCGAUUGUGUAUUCUUGCAAAAC